rnacentral:snRNA from 1 species
AAGUAUUAACAGUUCUUUUAGAAUUUGUCUAGCAGGUUUUCUAGUUUUACUAAAACAACCUUC